CCUUCGAUAGCUCAGUUGGUAGAGCGGUGGACUGUAGUGUGAAUAGAGACAAAGAGAGACAUCCAUAGGUCGCUGGUUCAAAUCCGGCUCGAAGGA
rnacentral:tRNA from 1 species